rnacentral:misc_RNA from 1 species
UUGGCUGCUCGCUGCUGCCUCGCCACUAACGCGGUGCGGGCACCAGCCGCGUCCACCGGCGCUGAAGUAGCCACUAACGCGGACGCGGUGCUGGCACCGGCCGCGUACACCGGCGCUGAAGUGCCCUUCUGCUUCCGUAGUCCAGCAUCAGCGCGCGAGAUCUGGUGGCUGGACGAAGCAGCGAUGCCGGCGGCAUGGACUCAGACUAUCGAUCCGCUCCUCCUCGACGUUGAACGUGGCGCUCUCGUCGUCGCGCAUCACGAAUUCCAUGUUGAAGGAGACGGCGGCGUAUGCCGACAAGACAAAAUGGGUGUGGUGGCUGCGGUCACGGGUAUGCGAUGGGCGCCAGCGACCAUACCGCCGCACAGGUACUUGAGAAAGCUGAAGGACUUCAUGACGCGACGCAAACCGGUUGAAAUAUCCAUUAAUGAUCGACCGUGA